CAACUUUCAACAACGGAUCUCUAGGCUCUCGCAUCGAUGAAGAACGCAGCGAAAUGCGAUAAGUAAUGUGAAUUGCAGAAUUCAGUGAAUCAUCGAAUCUUUGAACGCACCUUGCGCCCCUUGGUAUUCCGAGGGGCAUGCCUGUUUGAGUGUCAUGU
rnacentral:rRNA from 1 species